rnacentral:rRNA from 1 species
GACGAACGCUGGCGGCGUGCUUAACACAUGCAAGUCGAACGGAAAGGCCCUGCUUUUGUGGGGUGCUCGAGUGGCGAACGGGUGAGUAACACGUGAGUAACCUGCCCUUGACUUGGGGAUAACUUCAGGAAACUGGGGCAAAUACCGGAUAGGAGCUCCGGCUGCAUGGGGGGGGUUGGAAAGUUUCGGCGGUGGGGGAUGGACUCGCGGCUUAUCAGCUUGUUGGUGGGGUAGUGGCUUACCAAGGCUUUGACGGGUAGCCGGCCUGAGAGGGUGACCGGCCACAUUGGGACUGAGAUACGGCCCAGACUCCUACGGGAGGCAGCAGUGGGGAAUAUUGCACAAUGGGCGGAAGCCUGAUGCAGCAACGCCGCGUGCGGGAUGACGGCCUUCGGGUUGUAAACCGCUUUCGCCUGUGACGAAGCGUGAGUGACGGUAAUGGGUAAAGAAGCACCGGCUAACUACGUG